UCCUGUUGUUGGUUUCAAAGUACUGUGAUCCUUGCAGCAGACUCUUCCUCCAUUUGGAGUGGUCUUGGGUGAUAGUCUCCAAUCAGUUGAUGUUGCAUUUUUUUCAAGUUGGCCUUGAGGACAUCCUUGAAGUGCUUUCUCUGCCCUCCUUUUGAGUGUAUACCUUGACUGAGCUGGGAGAAUAACACUUGCUCCAGGAGUCUGGAGUUGGGCAUCUGGGUGACAUUGGAAGUGGCCAGACUAG